GACGUAGGUGGCGAGCGUUGUUCGGAAUCAUUGGGCGUAAAGCGCACGUAGGCGGCUUUGCAAGUCGGGUGUGAAAGCCUGGGGCUCAACCCCAGAAGUGCAUUCGAAACUGCAGAGCUUGAGUCUUGGAGAGGGCAGUGGAAUUCCGAGUGUAGAGGUGAAAUUCGUAGAUAUUCGGAGGAACACCAGUGGCGAAGGCGACUGCCUGGACAAAGACUGACGCUGAGGUGCGAAAGCGUGGGGAGCAAACAGG
rnacentral:rRNA from 1 species